rnacentral:rRNA from 1 species
AGAGUUUGAUCAUGGCUCAGGAUGAACGCUAGCGGCAGGCCUAAUACAUGCAAGUCGAGGGGUAACAGAAAGUGCUUGCACUUUGCUGACGACCGGCGGACGGGUGAGUAACGCGUAUAUAAUCUGCCUCAUACUAGAGGAUAGCCCGAAGAAAUUUGGAUUAACACUCUAUAGUAUCAUUUAAAGACAUCUUUUUAUGAUUAAAGGUUACGGUAUGAGAUGAGUAUGCGUUCUAUUAGUUUGUAGGUGAGGUAACGGCUCACCUAGACUACGAUAGAUAGGGGCCCUGAGAGGGGGACCCCCCACACUGGUACUGAGACACGGACCAGACUCCUACGGGAGGCAGCAGUAAGGAAUAUUGGUCAAUGGACGAAAGUCUGAACCAGCCAUGCCGCGUGCAGGAUGAAUGCCCUAUGGGUUGUAAACUGCUUUUAUACAGGAAGAAAAACUUUCUCGUGAGAAAGCUUGACGGUACUGUAAGAAUAAGGAUCGGCUAACUCCGUGCCAGCAGCCGCGGUAAUACGGAGGAUCCAAGCGUUAUCCGGAAUUAUUGGGUUUAAAGGGUCCGUAGGUGGAUAAUUAAGUCAGAGGUGAAAUCCUGCAGCUUAACUGUAGAAUUGCCUUUGAUACUGGUUAUCUUGAGUUAUUAUGAAGUGAUUAGAAUGUGUAGUGUAGCGGUGAAAUGCAUAGAUAUUACACAGAAUACCAAUUGCGAA